UUGGUUGGGAUUAGCGGCGAACGGGUGAGUAACGCGUGAGGAACCUGCCUCUUACAACGGGAUAGCCUCGGGAAACCGGGAUUAAUACCGUAUAAGACUCCGACAUCUCCUGAUGAUGAAGUCAAAGCGUAUGCGGUAAGAGAUGGCCUCGCGUCUGAUUAGUUAGUUGGCGGGGUAACGGCCCACCAAGACGACGAUCAGUAACCGGCCUGAGAGGGUGAACGGUCACAUUGGAACUGAGACACGGUCCAAACUCCUACGGGAGGCAGCAGUGGGGAAUCUUGCACAAUGGGGGCAACCCUGAUGCAGCGACGCCGCGUGAGCGAUGAAGGUUUUCGAAUCGUAAAGCUCUGUCCUAUGGGAAGAUAAUGACGGUACCAUAGGAGGAAGCCCCGGCUAACUACGUGCCAGCAGCCGCGGUAAUACGUAGGGGGCGAGCGUUGUCCGGAAUUACUGGGCGUAAAGGGUUCGCAGGCGGCAUGGCAAGUCCGAUGUAAAAGGCGAAGGCUCAACCUUCGUAAGCAUCGGAAACUGUCAAGCUUGAGUGAAGGAGAGGCAAGUGGAAUUCCUAGUGUAGCGGUGGAAUGCGUAGAUAUUAGGAGGAAUACCGGUGGCGAAGGCGACUUGCUGGACUUCAACUGACGCUGAGGAACGAAAGCGUGGGUAGCAAACAGGAUUAGAUACCCUGGUAGUCCACGCCGUAAACGAUGAGUGCUAGGUGUCGGGGGUCAAACCUCGGUGCCGCCGUUAACACAAUAAGCACUCCGCCUGGGGAGUACGUGCGC
rnacentral:rRNA from 1 species